rnacentral:lncRNA from 1 species
CAACAGCGGCGGGACGGCUUCUCCUCUGUGUAUUCCUUACGCCUCCCGGGAGCAGGAGUAACGGCAGGAAGUCAGGUGAACCCCCCCCACACACACACACACAUACGUGUGCGGCGAAGCGCUCCGGGUGCCGCUGGACAAGCUCACUGUACAGCUGCUUUCCUUUCCCCAGAGACGCGGGUUCUCAGAGUUUUCAUCUUCCAUUGGCCGCAAAUAAUCAGACCCCGUUUCCUGCCAGCUGCUUUUCUCAAACUCAGCGGGGCAAGAGGAAGAGUCUGAGGCCGGAAGCUGUAGGUCCCGGAUACGGGGUCCAGUCCUGACUCCGCUGCUUGCCCGCCAAGGAACGUGCCGCAGGUUCGCCAACGUCUCUGGUCCCGGAUAUUCACCAAGAGCGAACCGUCGGCCUCCCCGGCCCCGUGGGAUCCGAGGAAAUGCGCGUGGGCUCGUGCGUGGAAGAUGGAGCCCCCCCACCUCCAGACGCCAGGAUGCGGGCAGGGAUAUUCGGAGCGUGGGGGGCAUCUUCUUCGAGGAUGGCUUUGGCAUUGAGGGUGGGUUGUGGCGCAGCUGACCCUUGAGCACAGGGCCAGUUUGGCGUUUGCUGCUGCGGGAUUGCCUCUGGGACACGUAAGCCCAAGCCCAGCAGCGGGAGUCUCACGGGAAUAUACACAAAUUGCGUACGGCCCCCCAGCUCCUCACACCCCCUCACUCGUGACCCCCCACCCGUCCCAGCCACAACCGCCAAUCUGCCUCCAGUAGCUACUGCCCAUUCCUCCACGCCCAGGUCCCCCAGCAAGAGCCAGGGCUUUUCAGAGGAAAAGUCCCACAUUAAUCGUAGUAAUUCUUAACCAUUUAACAUGUGAGAAAACUGUGUCAAUGUUUCGUUAAGUUCCCAUCUUUUUUCCCUGCGUCGCUGACAAAGCGUUGGGUGUUAUGUCCCCAGGCCUCUUCUGGGCAAAGCGCUGCUCUCACCGUGCGUGCGGAGGUGCAAGGCCCCAUAGCUUUUGAGGAGACCUGCCUCACGUGGGCGCCCCGUGGCAGCAUCUGGAGUGUGCCGGGUCAGGGCUCGGGUCGUCCCCCCGGCAGGUGGAAAGUCAGGACGGCCGUGCCUCCUCUCGUAGGAGUGUCUCGUGGGAACGUUGGGAAGCUUGAAUCAGAUGACACAGCAACCCGCCCUCUCAGAUCCCUGCCGAGAGGACCGUGCUUCUUCCGGGGCUGUGUCAUGAAUGCACUUUUAUCCCCCACACGCUCGUUCCCCCGUUUUUUCUGUUCUGUUCCAGUGAUUGAUAUAAAAUUACCAGGCGCCCCCAUCCACGGGCUCCCACGCGACACUCAGCAGAGCAGCCUCAUCGCCGCCUCAUUUUCCCCCAUUUACUUUCAAAUCUCUCACCUUGGUCAAUUAGCAGCAGAUCCCACCCGUACAGAAGACGUUUUGGUGCCUUUUAAUUUCAGUCCCAGCGGAGGUGACACCCACGUUUAUACCGUUAUUCUGUAGCUCUAGCGACGGGGCCGUUGAGGUUCUGAAAACUUCAUCCACAGGCACCGCAUUUGCAUUUCAUGAGUCGUCUGUAGUGAGUGGAGUGUAUCCCUUCUCCCCUGAAUGAAAACAGCAGUGGCAGAGGCAGAAUUAAAGCAGCCGGGAAGGGCGGCCAGGCCACCUCAUGGCAACCGCCAGGCUUCCAAGGGCACAUCGCUCCUUCCGACCCUAAGCAACCAGCUGAGAACAUCAAAACGGCCUUGCCGCGCGCCUCCGCCCGCGUUAGUGUUGGCGGGCUGUUCCCUCCAUCGGGACUGACAGAGCCCUAAUUAUCAAGGUAAUUGGAAGUUAGAACACUGGCCAUGGGAAAGGGAGAACUUCUGGAGCCCAUUAACGAUGCUGCUUUAAGCCCUCCGGCUGGGAACUGUUCGAAUCUCUAAUUACAUGACGCGUCUGUCUUCGGGGUGAUGUAAUUAACCAAUGGGAGAGAGGAUUCGUGUACAGACCGCUGCCAACACUUGUAAGUACUGUUUUCACAGGCACGGCUGCGGCAACGUCUUUGCAUUUUCUGCCACUUAACCGUACAGCGCACGGAGCUGAAAAAAUCCCAACCUCGUAGGAUGCUUUUGUUCUUUCUUUUCCCCAUUUAAUGUGUUUCUUUACACAUAUGAUGUAUUUGCCCAAAUUCGAAGAUGAACCCGGGUGCCUUGAGUUUCUACAUAACAUGUAGAUUCUUUUUUUUUUUUUUAGUGGCCACACCCAUGGCAUGUGGAAGCUCCCGGGCCAGGGACUGAUCCCAAGCUGCAGCUGCAUCUUCACUGCAGCUUCUGCAACACAGGCUCCUCUGAGGCUCCGCCCCAGGCCAGGGAUCGGAUCCUCGCUCUCCACAGUCACCUGAGCCACUGCGGUCGGAUUUCUAAUCCACUGCACCACAGUGGGAACUCCGAGGUUCUACUCUUGACACGUAUAAACUCUUAAACACUAUGCCUGUCCCUCUGCUGCAGAAUCAAUGUGUUUC